UAUUAUUUAUUGCCUGAACGUUUUCCCAGUUAAUUUGCCCGGGGCAUGCACGCCGGCUAGGCACGAAAUGAAAUUUUACCGCUUGCCAAGGGGGCCUUCGAAAAUCGGCUGAUAUACGAUCAUUACUGUUUGUUGGACAAACAAAAGGUCGCGCGCGCACAUCGCUUGAAAUAUGACGACCCUGAGCGAGAGUAACAACUCGCGAAUGAUAUAACGAUCGGAUAAUCAGUAGGUCAGGACGACCUCUGCUAUCAUGGGCGUUCAGAGAUCCGGAUAAAACGACGGACGUCACUUUACACCUCCAUUCAUCAGAUCAUAAAACAUCUAUUUCACGGAAGGAUUUCAAGACGGUUCCACGCGAUCUGGGAUUAAGAGUGACAAAUAAUUGUGGCGACCAAUGGGAAGCUGGCACAUGGAACAAGUGUGGCUUAACGACCAAGCCUGAUUGUGCCAUCGUGAUGUCUAUGAUGGCUGCAGAUUGUUGAGAGACGAAGAGUCAAGUUCUGCCCGGUUGGUUAAGGUUGAGAUGAAGAGGGGAUGAAGGAUUUUGAGUACAGGGGAUGAAAGCGCAAGCUUAAAACUGGCCGUAAAGUGACAGAAGACUGUGUAAAUGUGAGGCCGACAUGGCUGUUCUCUGGGAAAAGAUCUUGACGGCGUCGCCAUGACUACCGAAUGGGAUUUUAAGUCGCUACCACUGAAGUGGCUGCAAAGUGAGUCGAUCGGCCUUUCUCGAAAGCUUUCAUCCCCUUCUCGCGUUAUCGUUGCUGUCGAGUGGUCGCAAAAUAUCCAGAUACAUCUCUGGGGAGUUCGAGAGUCUGACACUUUGAUACCGGAACGAGCGUGAGCCCCACCGCCCAGUGCUGCAGGGAGAAGACAUGGACACACGAUUCGCUUAGCCCGACUGUUCACGAUUUUCAUCGUCAUUGCGAGGACGACAUUGAUAAGGGACGGUGGGGGGUGUUGAUUUUAUCCAUUCAAGCCUUUACUUCGUUGUAAAAUAUCCCGGCGCUCCCGUAAAGCUUUUAAUCCUCAGCUGGACCUCUCAUUUACCCUCUCCUCCUUUCCCCACCUACCCCCGAUAAAGCCCGGGGACUUUUCCUCACUUUGGAUAACAUUGCUCACCGGCGAGAAAUCAUCAGCUCCCUUCACUCUGUAAGUGCCCCGUGCUCCUUGUCUCGUCUUCACACUUUAUGAAUGCCCGACGGCGACAGUGGAGUUGUGGGAAUCGAAAAUGAAAAUUUAAGGAAACCAGGUAAACGGCGGAUACUGCUGUUACUUUUAGCUGUAUAGAUAUAUAGAAUACGUAGAGUCCUCCGGAGAGGCCCAAAAUACUCGCCAUACAGUUCCAUGGCUCUGCGCCAUAACGAUUCGGGCCAUUAUUAUUCAUUAGGAUUUUUCCAGCCAUGUGUCUUCCUUAAGUUAUUUUUUCUCUUUGCUUCCUUUUCUGUUUUUUUUUUAUCAUCUACCAGUAGUGAGAAGCCGCUUCCCUGAGCGAGGGUGAGUUUAUCACGUGGUUACGCUUUAUUAAAUUUGGCAGGAAAAUGGCGGACACUCUUCAUUCUCAUUGACUAAGGACUGUGUCUCUCUGGACAGCGUAUCGAAUCCUUGUUCUUCACUUUGAUAUAAAGAUAUUCCCAUUUAUUAUCACCCGACGUUCGGCUUCUUCGCCAAAGGUAUAUAUAUCGGAAAUCUCUUGCCGCACGUAGCGGCUGAA